AGAGUUGAUUAUGGCUCAGGAUUAACGCUGGCGGCAUGCCUAAUACAUGCAAGUCGAAUGGUUAGCUUGCUAACCAUGGCGAACGGGUGAGUAACACGUAGGUAACCUGUCUUCAAGACGAGGAUAACCAUUGGAAACGAUGGAUAAUACUGGAUAGGACAAAUCCCCGCAUGAGGAGAUGUUUAAAGGAGCAAUCCACUUGAUGAGGGGCCUGCGGUGCAUUAGCUAGUUGGUGAGGUAAAGGCCCACCAAGGCGAUGAUGCAUAGCCGGACUGAGAGGUUGAACGGCCACAAUGGAACUGAGAACGGUCCAUACUCCUACGGGAGGCAGCAGUAGGGAAUUUUCGGCAAUGGGCGGAAGCCUGAACCCGAGCAAUGCCGCGUGAACGAUGAAGUAUUUCGGUAUGUAAAGUUCUUUUAUUUGGGAAGAAAAAACAAAUUGACGGUACCAAAUGAAUAAGCUCCGGCUAACUACGUGCCAGCCGCAGC
rnacentral:rRNA from 1 species